rnacentral:tRNA from 1 species
GCCUUCGUAGCGUAACGGUAGCACAAUCGAUGCGUAUUCGAGAGGUCAGGGUUCGAGUCCCGGCGACGGCA